rnacentral:rRNA from 1 species
UACGUAGGGCGCAAGCGUUGUCCGGAAUUAUUGGGCGUAAAGAGCUCGUAGGCGGUCUGUCACGUCUGCCGUGAAAACCCGAGGCUUAACCUCGUGGCUUGCGGUGGAUACGGGCAGACUAGAGUGCGGUAGGGGAGAUUGGAAUUCCUGGUGUAGCGGUGGAAUGCGCAGAUAUCAGGAGGAACACCAAUGGCGAAGGCAGAUCUCUGGGCCGUAACUGACGCUGAGGAGCGAAAGCGUGGGGAGCGAACAGG